GUCUGAGAUGGAGCACUUGUGGAUGUGUCCCUCAUACGUGCCCACCAGAUAGACACUGGAAUCCUGCAGGACAAGAGCAAUCAAGCAAAACAUGGCAAGGAGUGUAAGACAAGAAGAAGAAGAAGCCAGCAGAGCAGGCAACUACAACUGAAGUACCUAUGCAGUCGAGAGCGUUGCUGCUGAGGAGCCACUUGGAGACCCUGCUGUCUGUCGACACAGAGACGACAUUUUCUACACUUCCCUGUCCUGACAGAUUCAUCUCUUGUUUGAUGCACCUCACCUGCCACACUGGGUGCAGGUGCCUUUUAGAGCACUCACUGCAACACAAAUAUAAGGAAAACUAUGUUUGUAUAUCAAAAGUGUACAUUUCAACAUUAAUUUGACACACACACAAAGUCCUCACCUGCUGCUGGC